GCAAACUUGGUCAUUUAGAGGAAGUAAAAGUCGUAACAAGGUUUCCGUAGGUGAACCUGCGGAAGGAUCAUUAGUGAAUAAACUUGUGUGGGUUGUUGCUGACCUCCUCGGAGGUAUGUGCACGCCUGCCAUUGUUUCAUUCUCCUUCCACCUGUGCACUUUUUGUAGACCCAGCUGUCACCUUUUCGGGUUGCUUGCAUCCCGGUUAUGAGGACUUGCUCUGGCUGUCCUUGGAUGGCGGUGGUCUAUGUCUUUUAUCAACUCUGUAUGUAACCGAAUGUUUGUUCUGGGUUCUAUACCCAUAAAAUCUAUACAACUUUCAACAACGGAUCUCUUGGCUCUCGCAUCGAUGAAGAACGCAGC
rnacentral:misc_RNA from 1 species